AGAGUUUGAUCAUGGCUCAGGACGAACGCUGGCGGCGUGCCUAACACAUGCAAGUCGAGCGGAGACAGUGAGUAGCUUGCUAUGAGCUGUUUUAGCGGCGGACGGGUGAGUAACGCGUGAGCAACCUUUCCCAGACAGGGGAAUAACACACCGAAAGGUGUACUAAUACCGCAUAAGACCACGGGAUCACAUGGUUCUGGGGUAAAAGAUUUAUCGGUUUGGGGUGGGCUCGCGUCCGAUUAGGUAGUUGGUGAGGUAACGGCCCACCAAGCCGACGAUCGGUAGCCGACCUGAGAGGGUGAUCGGCCACAUUGGGACUGAGACACGGCCCAAACUCCUACGGGAGGCAGCAGUGGGGAAUAUUGGGCAAUGGAGGAAACUCUGACCCAGCAACGCCGCGUGGAGGAAGAAGGUUUUCGGAUCGUAAACUCCUGUCCUUGGAGACGAGUAGAAGACGGUAUCCAAGGAGGAAGCCCCGGCUAACUACGUGCCAGCAGCCGCGGUAAUACGUAGGGGGCAAGCGUUGUCCGGAAUAAUUGGGCGUAAAGGGCGCGUAGGCGGCUCGGUAAGUCUGGAGUGAAAGUCCUGCUUUUAAGGUGGGAAUUGCUUUGGAUACUGUCGGGCUUGAGUGCAGGAGAGGUUAGUGGAAUUCCCAGUGUAGCGGUGAAAUGCGUAGAGAUUGGGAGGAACACCAGUGGCGAAGGCGACUAACUGGACUGUAACUGACGCUGAGGCGCGAAAGUGUGGGGAGCAAACAGGAUUAGAUACCCUGGUAGUCCACACUGUAAACGAUGAAUGCUAGGUGUAGGGGGUAUCGACCCCUUCUGUGCCGCAGUCAACACAAUAAGCAUUCCACCUGGGGAGUACGCCGGCAACGGUGAAACUCAAAGGAAUUGACGGGGGCCCGCACAAGCGGAGGAACAUGUGGUUUAAUUCGAUGAUACGCGAGGAACCUUACCCGGGCUUGAAUUGCAGAGGAAGGAUUUGGAGACAAUGACGCCCUUCGGGGUCUCUGUGAAGGUGCUGCAUGGUUGUCGUCAGCUCGUGCCGUGAGGUGUCGGCUUAAGUGCCAUAACGAGCGCAACCCCUCUCCUUAGUUGCCAUCAGGUUAAGCUGGGCACUCUGGGGACACUGCCACCGUAAGGUGUGAGGAAGGUGGGGAUGACGUCAAAUCAGCACGGCCCUUACGUCCGGGGCUACACACGUGUUACAAUGGCAGGUACAGAGAGACGGUUGUACGUAAGUACGAUCAAAUCCUUAAAGCCUGUCUCAGUUCGGACUGGGGUCUGCAACCCGACCCCACGAAGCUGGAUUCGCUAGUAAUCGCGCAUCAGCCAUGGCGCGGUGAAUACGUUCCCGGGCCUUGUACACACCGCCCGUCAAGCCAUGAAAGCCGGGGGCGCCUAAAGUCCGUGACCGUAAGGAGCGGCCUAGGGCGAAACUGGUAAUUGGGGCUAAGUCGUAACAAGGUA
rnacentral:rRNA from 1 species